AACGAACGCUGGCGGCAGGCCUAACACAUGCAAGUCGAGCGCGCCCUUCGGGGUGAGCGGCGGACGGGUGAGUAACGCGUGGGAACGUGCCCUUUUCUACGGAAUAGCCUCGGGAAACUGAGAGUAAUACCGUAUACGCCCUUUGGGGGAAAGGUUUAUCGGAAAAGGAUCGGCCCGCGUUGGAUUAGGUAGUUGGUGGGGUAAUGGCCUACCAAGCCGACGAUCCAUAGCUGGUUUGAGAGGAUGAUCAGCCACACUGGGACUGAGACACGGCCCAGACUCCUACGGGAGGCAGCAGUGGGGAAUCUUAGACAAUGGGGGCAACCCUGAUCUAGCCAUGCCGCGUGAGUGAUGAAGGCCUUAGGGUUGUAAAGCUCUUUCAGCUGGGAAGAUAAUGACGGUACCAGCAGAAGAAGCCCCGGCUAACUCCGUG
rnacentral:rRNA from 1 species